AAUCGUGAGAGGAACAGAGCUCACAUCUCUUCUUUCUGCUUGGUGUCUUCUAAUUCUUGGUAGACUGUUCUCACUGAACAUUGACAGUACCACAAUUUUCUUCUAACUUUCUGAUUAAAGAUUUGCUGCUCGGAGCUGAGUGGGUAUUAUGCAUCCUAAUGACACUGCAGUACCAAGUGAGUACUACUUUUUAUUUCAGUCCUUUCAUUCCCCUCCACCAAAUUAGUUUUGCUUUUAGCAUGGUCUGACAAGGUGGAGAUACUGUCUUAACAGAGGAUUCUGUUUUAAUUUAGGCUGAUGAAAAGGAGCCUUGACUUCUCAGUUAGCUUAUUUGAGGAUCUUAAUAACAAUUAUUCAUCAAGCAAGCUUAUUGCUUCACUGCCUCUUUUGUAGAGAUAGUUCAUGCUAUCUUAGAUCUUAUUUUUCAUCAAACGAGCUUAUUACCUGGCACUCAUCCCAUUGCAUGCUUAGUUCUGCAGUCACUUUGACUAAGCUUAACCCUUCAUCACAAUGUUAGUGGUUUCUUUCCCAUACCACUCGCUCUAAUUCAGCGAUCCCAUGGCACUACGGAUUCUGCUCUAAUCUGGAAUGUCCUUGUGCUAUUCUGUUGCCUAGAUAAUUAUCUAUGUUAUUUGCUUAUGUACAGUUCUAUACGCUUCCCAUGCUUAGUAUCUUUGUCCCUCCCAUAAUAUGUUAGGUACCAAACUUUGUAGGUUGAUUUAGACAAAGAUUUCCAAGCUGAUUAUGUGAGAACUUUGUAGGUUGAUUUAGACAAAGAUUUCCAAGCUGAUUAUGUGAGGGAUGGAAUCAUAAAUAAGAUUAUUUUAUUUAAGAAAAUUAUAUAAGAAUUUGAUAGUUCAGCGCUUCCAUACCCGCGUGAGCCUUGCUAGACCUGUGCAUGACAUAUCCACAUCAUUAUUUUUUUGCCCUAGUUGGGUGAUGUGUCUGCCAUCGUGAAAGUUAUCUUAUGCCCUUAUUUUCCUGUAAAGUGAAUGUGCAAAAUCAUGUUAGUCUCUAGGUAUCUCUGUAAAUGAUGAAACCGGUCAUAUAACAUGAAUGCCAACAAUCUAUACCCCUUCGAUGUGGUCUGCAGAAAAUACUAAAUACCAAGUUAUGCAAUCGCCAUAGGUGUUGAUGUUUAUUGGAAUUCACAUUUCAUCCACCUCUACCAAUGGAAAUGGUGUGAUAGAAGUACAUCUGGUUGUUAUUAUCUCAUGCCUAAUUUCUGCUAAUUUGAAACAGGCCUAGAUGACAUGCUUAAAUGAUAUAGUGUUGAUUUGUGCAUAUCUAUUCAUGGUAUAUUUUUCUAUACCGUUAUCUUUUCAUGGAUUAUGCAUAACAGAUCUUUAGAUGACAUUUAUGUUUAGGAGUCAAGCUGUAGGAUCUCGAUGCCGGGGACCUAGCAGCGUCCAUCUGCGAGCUGCAGGGCGUCGAGCUGCUCCGCCUCAAAAGGACCAAGACCAACGUUGGCUCUUCAGAUACGAUCUCGAAGCCGUCGCUGGACAGGCCCGUGUUUCUGUCAGUGUAGUUGUUUGUCAGAAUUCUUCUGCAGACUUUUAAAGAGGAGGUAAUUGCAACUAUGUCCUACAGUAACAAGGUAACUAAUUUGCGUUGCUCGUGUCUGAAAAAAUAUAGUAAUUAGAAACUAGGCUACGGGAGGAAUAUGAAUAUGAGACAGUGUCCCUGAUCUCCCAUAUUGUACAUCCGCACACUGUGCUCAACAUAUGGGUGCCAAAGAGUUUAUUUACCUUGUGCCAUUUAGCCUAUGAUCGCUGCUUUCUGUAGAAAAGUGUGCAUAUGUGUUGAUUAAUGGUGCUUUAUUUUGUCUAGGAUGAAAUGAUAGUUGCGCAGGGCAAGCUUUUCUCUUAUCUUUGGGGAUAAGCCAAUGAUCUUGGUUAUAUGAUCGAGUUCAAUCCCCCGAGGAAAAAUAACUUGCAUGUUUCUUUCCAAUGGCAAUAAAAUUUCAUUUUCCAUGUGUUUGUAAGUUAAUGCAUGGCUUUCUUCUACAUCUUAUUUAAAGUUGGUCUGAUUAGCAAAACCCUGCCACGAGGCAACACUAGCCAAUGGUGCUUCCGAGUAAAACUUACUGAAAGUUCAUGCAUGCAUCAUAGAAGAAAAAGAGGCUAAAAGCUUGUGAAAUUUAUGCAAUUUUGAAGAAAGGAUUAUUCUCUAGGGCUAUUCGUGGUGAUGAUUUGCUCUGUAACCUAUAAGCGUUCUUAUUUAAGAUGAAGUUGCUAUUGAGUGAGUGGUUUCCUUGCUCUACUGCAUAUGCUGAGUGACAACAAGUAUGGUUCACAACAUCUCAAUGGCUGCCUAUGCUCUGUCAUGUUUAGUUUCUGUAUUCGACGGCAACCAAUUUAUGAUCUCAAGAUUUUUACUACAAUCUAUGCAAAAAGCUUCCCAGUUUCAGUAUUCUCUCGUCUUUCUGAACAUUCAACUGACUUCUAAUUUUUGUUUUGGUGGUAUAAUGUGUUAAUUGUGCUCCAGGCUUAAGGCCUAUUUCACUUAGGUAUAGACAAUAUAGUACUACGGCUACUUAGGGUUUGGUUAUCUUCAUAUGUGGCGCAUAAUUGCCAUUGUUGCUAAGAUCUCAAAGUAUAACAUAAGGUAUUCAUUAGAAUCUUUCCUUCAGCAUGGCUCUGGCAAAGGCAGUAUGAUGUGCCCUCCCUCACGUUAUACAGUAGUACUGGAACAUAUAGUCUUAAUGAUCCAAUAGAGUAUCCACUACGCUUUUUUCCUUAAAGAAAGAAGAGAUAACCCAAUAAUCCAAUCAAAGUGUUCAUGAUAAACCAUUAUUUGUUAUUUGAAAGCUUAAAUUGCUUUUAUGUUUGAAAGCUCUGUUAUGUUUUUGAGCCCUAUGUGUCUUUAUGUAUGAGAUGUGUGAUGUACACAUUGGACAUCCAGUAUGUUGUUAUAGUUGCAGUUAAUUUCGUUAUCCACAAAGUAGUGGCACUAUUGAGUAUCCGCGCUUAUUUUCUUAGUCUCAAGUUUGCUGAUUAUUUAUCAUAUUCACUUUUCUAUUACAAUAUUGUUCAACUAUUAGCAUUUAGUAGAUCCAGUCCAUGAUUUUUAUGGAACUAACAAGUAGCAAAGCGUAGACUCUGCAAGCUUUGGUGCUCUGCUUUACUUGGAAAAGGCAUACACCACCUUUGUGGGGAGGCAGGCCUAUCUAAACGCAGAGAAUCAUCAUAAGCACAUUAGUUUGAGUCCCAAUGAUACUCAAUUGCUAUCCCCCAGUCUUGGUUGGUGUGUCCUCUCCAAGGUAAACCAUACACAUGCUUGCUUCUACGAAACACUAUCUUUUCUGAAAGAAUUAAAUAUAAAUGUUGAUGCAUCUACACAUAUAUAUAUAACGAUAACUCACAUAAUGUAAUGGUUUAGUAUAUUUCUCAGCCUUCAAUUGAUAAUGUGAAUUGUUUCAGAGUUACAUAGCACACCUCAACAAAUCCGAAAAUUCAUAAUUAGACUCCAUUUUGCUAAAACAUUUACAUGGUUAAUAAGGCUUUCGUUACAAUUUAUGUCUCUCUUGCUACAUAGAUUCGAAAGUAGAUUUAUCUCUGUUGAUAAUCAUGCUUGCUUUUCUGAAAGUAACUCUCAUGAAGUGAUUCUUGAUGUUGUAGUACAUGCUGGUUCUCUGCACAUUUAACUGCAGCGGGGUUAGGUUUGGGUCCGGAAGAUUGCAUGAUAGAACUGCAGGGUGGUUAGGGUCGGGUCUGGAAGAAAUUUUACACCUUAUCCUUCAGGAUUUUAAUGCUACAUUUAUUUGAUUAAUACAAUCCUUUAUCCCGAAGAAAAACUUUUGUGUGACUCAUACUAAUUAGUUUUGUUGUGGCUCCAAAUUCGCAGGAAUAAGCCAUUAGCUUCUGAGGUUCAUCAGUCUAGAGCCUAAAGGUCAACCUCUGCCUAUGUCAGGUACAGUAUUGUGCAAGGUAACAUUCAUAAUGCAGCCUAUGGCUUAACGUCUAUGAUUGCGGUCUAUAGAUGUAUGAUAUUCGUUCUCUCAAAAGAAGAUAUUUUUGGUGUACAAUGUGUAAUGCUUGAAGUGUUUACCUUUAGUUUCUGGAUCGAUAUGCAUGUAAUCAGUUAUCUAUGUGUGUAUUUCAGACUACCCUUGUGUCUAUGGCAUUAAAAAUGCUCAUGUGUACUGGUCCAAUAUUCCUUUAACAAAGUGAUAUCUAUGCAUACAUCUAGCUGGGAAUUGAGUUUUUUAAAGCAAGACAAAGCCUCAACGAUGUUGGGAUGGCUAAUUUUAAGCUCUUUGAUAACCAUUUGGUCACGAUCUUGAUAAUAAUCAUGUCUUUUUAUCUUCUGUUACUUCAGAUUUCAACUAGAGCAGAGAGAUAGAUAGUACAAACCACAAAAUGGUAUGAAACAGAGGCCAGUAAAACCUGGUCUAAAUAGAGAGGCCUCGUUUUUCUCUGUCAAGGACGUUGUUAUCUUCAAGUUCCACCGUGAUACGACAUGCUAUAAGACUAUUUUGUUCAUUGUAUAUCUACAUGUGCUUACCUUGACUGAUUUCCAUCUGGCACUAAUAAUUCUUCUCCUAAUCUUCUACGUUACAAAAUGCUCAAAUUGUUCUCAGGAUGCCACCAAAACUGACACUUCAUAUCAUGCUGACUACCCUUGGAUUUUCAGAGGCUGAAUAUUUUAUGCAAGAUGUGUGAGGACAACAAGAUUUAUGUUACUGUUGAUUUCAACACCUUUAUACUGCCCUUUGAAGGUUCAAGUGCCCUGUUAAUUAUACCAGUGGAAUAUUCUAUGGAUGAUUACUUAUAGUAUACAUACCCUUGAAGAAUAGAAUGCUUUCGCCAUGAAGGUGACUGAAAAGUGCGAUAUCUACAGUUUCGUGGGUGUUUUGUUGGAACUAAUGUGCAAUUCAGGUUCUUGAGAAAGGACAUCUUGUCAAUUUUUGUGAGGCAGACAAUGAAUAGCAUGCCACCAAAUUCGGAAGUUUUCUACAACAGCCUCUAUCUGAACUCAAAGAGGGUUGCGGAAGAAAUCACUCUGGUACUGAAGAUUGCAUUAUUCUGCACCAGUGAAUCACCAUUAGAUAGGCCUAGCAUGGCGAGAAGUGAUAUCCAUGUUGAUCAUUGCUCGGGCCUCCUCUUGUGAUUUAUUCUCAUCUCCAGCAUCGGAGCCACCUACCGAACAUUAUUCGCCCUUUUCAGAUUAAGAGGUGAGGUGAAGUGAUCUUAUGGUUACGUUAAGGAGCUCAACAAGCUAUCCAGGCAAACAUCUUCAAGAUAAGGAGUAUUCACUGAUUAAGUUCAUAGCUGAAGACCAUUUAGUGUAUGCCCUGAGCUUGUGGAAGCUGUCUCUUUACGUGGCCUACCAAUGGAAAAGGACAUCUAUCUUUCUGAGUUCUGAGCAAGAUAAAGUCCCCAAGCGGGUGGGCAUUUUCUGGAUUUAACCACUGGUUGAAGCAUUUGAGGUUGUAUAUUCUUAGUUCAACUACAGCUCUUUUAGUGGAGGCAGAUAAUUCAAGGUGUUCGUUUCAUGGUAGACAGGUGAAGCAUUUGAGGUGAACCUGUCUACCUCUGAAAAUUAAACAGAUCCACUGGCCUAAGGAUGAUACAGUAGGAGUAGCAGUUUAGCACUACAUUGCACAGAUUGCCAUCGACUCACUUGGCAUCUGGUACAUGUUACUACUAAGCUACUGAGAUCACCAUCAAAAUCACAACUAGACAAGAUUCUGAACUAACUGAAGAUAGCUCACUUUCCCUUUUAUGGUACAUGCUUCGGAAUACUAAUGAUAGUUGUAAUCUGGAGCAUAAAAGGAAUAACUUCUUCUUUUUUGAAUGGUAUAUAUUCUCUGUAUAUAAUUGACAUGGAGAAUCUCACUACUUAGGCACAUAUUGUACUUUCAUGAUACUAGAAAAGAGAGAAGAAAAGAAAGAGCAAUAGUUUCUUUUGAGAGAACUCAAGCACCAAAACUCCAGAAAUGUUUUUUGCAUGUGAAGAUCUUUUGCAGCACCUGUAUGUUAUGUGUUGUAAAUUUGGUCUUCAGGGAUUUAGGUUUAGGUACUGACGCAUCAAACCAUAUGUUAUCUGUUGUAAAUUUGUUUUCUUGCCUCUAGAUAUGUUUUGGUUGGACAAGUCAGAGUGGAAACACUUGAAUCUUGGAAUAUUGCUGUAAUUGUUUUAAACUACUGGUGAAUAGAGGUAUGGAGGUAGUUAGUCACGCAACACUUUUGCAUUUGCUAAUUUAAUCAUGCAAUACUUUCAGCUACCUACAGCUCAUCAUAUUUAUAUAAUCAUCUAUACAUUUUUUUCUCCAAUGCGCAGCUGCUGGAACUUACUAACACAUGAAUUUUAAAUAACCAUUUUGGUACAUGCAGUUCUAGAAAUGUACUUUCAUGUUUGAUUUCUCCAGUCUAUAAAUAUCAGGCAAUUCUUAGUUUCAGCUAUGCUUAGCUGAGGUUCCUUUUUGUCAA